UACGGGGGGGGGCAAGCGUUGUUCGGAAUUACUGGGCGUAAAGGCGCGUAGGCGGCCUUCUAAGUCAGACGUGAAAUCCCCCGGCUUAACCUGGGGAACUGCGUCUGAUACUGGGGAGGCUUGAGUAUGGGAGAGGGAUGGUAGAAUUCCAGGUGUAGCGGUGAAAUGCGUAGAUAUCAGGAGGGAACACCGGUGGGCGAAGGGCGGGUCUCUGGGCCGAUACUGACGCUGAGGGAGCGAAAGCGUGGGGAGCGAACAGG
rnacentral:rRNA from 1 species